AGCGGCGAACGGGUGAGUAACACGUGAGUAAUCUGCCCUGCGCUCUGGGAUAGCCACCGGAAACGGUGAUUAAUACCGGAUAGGACCACUUCACGCAUGUGAUGGUGGUGGAAAGUUUUUUCGGCGCAGGAUGUGCUCGCGGCCUAUCAGCUUGUUGGUGAGGUAACGGCUCACCAAGGCUUUGACGGGUAACCGGCCUGAGAGGGUGACCGGUCACACUGGGACUGAGACACGGCCCAGACUCCUACGGGAGGCAGCAGUGGGGAAUAUUGGACAAUGGGCGGAAGCCUGAUCCAGCAACGCCGCGUGAGGGAUGACGGCCUUCGGGUUGUAAACCUCUUUCAGUACCGACGAAGCGAAAGUGACGGUAGGUACAGAAGAAGGACCGGCCAACUACGUGCCAGCAGCCGCGGUAAUACGUAGGGUCCGAGCGUUGUCCGGAAUUAUUGGGCGUAAAGGGCUCGUAGGCGGUUUGUCGCGUCGGGAGUGAAAACACCGGGCUUAACUCGGUGCUUGCUUUCGAUACGGGCAGACUAGAGGUAUGCAGGGGAGAAUGGAAUUCCUGGUGUAGCGGUGAAUGCGCGGAUAUCAGGAGGAACACCGGUGGCGAAG
rnacentral:rRNA from 1 species